AAAGUUGAGGUAAGAAUUCUUUAAUCUUCUAGGGGACGAUAAGACCCUAGAAGCUUAACAUUAAGUUAAACUGAUAGUUUAAGUUGAGUUUUUGUUUUACUGGGGCGGUAGAGAUAAAUAAGCUAUUUGAGUACGAAAGAUCUUUAAAAUUAAGAUAGCUGGAAAUAGUUACUCUAGGGAUAACAGUGUAAUACUUUUGGAGAGAUCUUAUUGAUAAAUGAGUUUGC
rnacentral:rRNA from 1 species